AUUGAACGCUGGCGGCAGGCCUAACACAUGCAAGUCGAACGAGUGGCGGACGGGUGAGUAAUGUCUGGGAAACUGCCUGAUGGAGGGGGAUAACUACUGGAAACGGUAGCUAAUACCGCAUACCAUCAGAUGUGCCCAGAUGGGAUUAGCUAGUGGGUGGGGUAACGGCUCACCAAGGCCACGAUCCCUAGCUGGUCUGAGAGGAUGACCAGCCACAUGGGAACUGAGACACGGCCCAGCCGCCUACGGGAGGCAGCAGUGGGGAAUAUUGCACAAGGGGAGCAAGCCUGAUGCAGCCAGGCCGGGGGUAUGAAGAAGGCCUUCGGGUUGUAAAGUACUUUCAUCGGGGAGGCGUUACCCGCAGAAGAAGCAACGGCUAACUACGUGCCAGCCGCCGCGGUAAUUC
rnacentral:rRNA from 1 species